ensembl:lncRNA
UAAACUAGGUCUAAAAUAUGUCUAAACUAGAGCUAAAAUAGGUCUAAACCAGAGCUAAAUUAGAUCUAAGCUAAGUCUAAAAUAGAUCUAAACUAGGUCUAAACCAGAGCUAAACUAGAUCUAAUCUAGGUCUAAACUAGGUCUAAUCUAGGUCUAAUCUAGGUCUAAUCUAGGUCUAAUCUAGGUCUAAUCCAUAUGGACAUAUUGAAUGCGUCACAGAGGAAAGUACUUUUUUGGGGGGUGAUUUAAUACAAUAUUUUUAACAAUAUUGUGCAUUUAGAAUAGUUUUUUGGGGAUAAUUCUAUAAUUCUGCUUUGGGAACAUGUUUGUACAGGUCUGAACUACAGGAUUAGCUGAUUUUAUGCAGAAUAAGAUGCAAGAUUUUGUUUGUGGAGGGAAAACAGCAGGUUUUACGAUGAGCUAAUCACGUCCUUUGAUUUUGAUUUGACUGUGAUUAAUCAGCUGAACUGGGUGUGACAGAAAUACUCAGAUGAAUAGAUUCAGAAUGUGUGUGGCAAUAACACAGAGACAAACACACUAAAGACACAGAGACAAACACGCUAAAGACACAGAGAGAAACACACUAAAGACACAGAGACAAACACGCUAAAGACACAGAGAGAAACACACUAAAGACACAGAGACAAACACACUAAAGACACAGAGACAAACACACUAAAGACACAGAGACAAACACACUAAAGACACAGAGACAAACACGCUAAAGACACAGAGACAAACACGCUAAAGACACAGAGACAAACACGCUAAAGAC